UCCUACGGGAGGCAGCAGUAGGGAAUCUUCCGCAAUGGACGAAAGUCUGACGGAGCAACGCCGCGUGAGUGAUGAAGGCUUUCGGGUCGUAAAACUCUGUUGUUAGAGAAGAACGUUGUGUAGAGUGGAAAAUUACACAAGUGACGGUAUCUAACCAGAAAGGGACGGCUAACUACGUGCCAGCAGCCGCGGUAAUACGUAGGUCCCGAGCGUUGUCCGGAUUUAUUGGGCGUAAAGCGAGCGCAGGUGGUUUAAUAAGUCUGAUGUAAAAGGCAGUGGCUCAACCAUUGUGUGCAUUGGAAACUGUUAGACUUGAGUGCAAUACAAGAGAGUGGAAUUCCAUGUGUAGCGGUGAAAUGCGUAAAUAUAUGGAGGAACACCGGUGGCGAAAGCGGCUCUCUGGACUGUAACUGACACUGAGGCUCGAAAGCGUGGGUAGCAAACAGGAUUAGAUACCCUGGUAGUCCACGCCGUAAACGAUGAGUGCUAGUUGUUUGGGGCUAUCCAGCCCUAAGUGACGCAGCAAACGCAUUAAGCACUCCGCCUGGGGAGUACGACCGCAAGGUUGAAACUCAAAGGAA
rnacentral:rRNA from 1 species